rnacentral:lncRNA from 1 species
GACAACGCUGUCGCAUCCUCACGCUCAAGAUGGAUUCAAGCUGGCAGCGGAAGACAAGAUCCAAGCCCACAUCACCUGCGAGUCGAGCUGGCCUCAGUCGAGGACGAGCAAGCUAACGAGAACAAAUGGAGAGAGCAAACUGAUGGUAGCUGAGUUACCCGUCGGAUCUCAUCCGGUCAUAGGAAUUUUUGAAUGAGCGAGCGGAGAGAAGAAGGAAAGGAGAAAGGGGAUCGGGCAAGAGUAACAUAUUUUAUUUGUAGGGAAGCAAGAGCAAUACGUUUCUUUUAGCGGUGCAAGAGCAACAUGCUCACAUGUGAAGGUUUGAG